rnacentral:rRNA from 1 species
GACGAACGCUGGCGGCGUGCUUAACACAUGCAAGUCGAACGGAAAGGCCCUGCUUUUGUGGGGUGCUCGAAUGGCGAACGGGUGAGUAACACGUGAGUAACCUGCCCUUGACUUUGGGAUAACUUCAGGAAACUGGGGCUAAUACCGGAUAGGAGCUCCUGCUGCAUGGUGGGGGUUGGAAAGUUUCGGCGGUUGGGGAUGGACUCGCGGCUUAUCAGCUUGUUGGUGGGGUAGUGGCUUACCAAGGCUUUGACGGGUAGCCGGCCUGAGAGGGUGACCGGCCACAUUGGGACUGAGAUACGGCCCAGACUCCUACGGGAGGCAGCAGUGGGGAAUAUUGCACAAUGGGCGGAAGCCUGAUGCAGCAACGCCGCGUGCGGGAUGACGGCCUUCGGGUUGUAAACCGCUUUCGCCUGUGACGAAGCGUGAGUGACGGUAAUGGGUAAAGAAGCACCGGCUAACUACGUGCCAGCAGCCGCGGUGAUACGUAGGGUGCGAGCGUUGUCCGGAUUUAUUGGGCGUAAAGGGCUCGUAGGUGGUUGAUCGCGUCGGAAGUGUAAUCUUGGGGCUUAACCCUGAGCGUGCUUUCGAUACGGGUUGACUUGAGGAAGGUAGGGGAGAAUGGAAUUCCUGGUGGAGCGGUGGAAUGCGCAGAUAUCAGGAGGAACACCAGUGGCGAAGGCGGUUCUCUGGGCCUUUCCUGACGCUGAGGAGCGAAAGCGUGGGGAGCGAACAGGCUUAGAUACCCUGGUAGUCCACGCUGUAAACGGUGGGUACUAGGUGUGGGGUCCAUUCCACGGGUUCCGUGCCGUAGCUAACGCUUUAAGUACCCCGCCUGGGGAGUACGGCCGCAAGGCUAAAACUCAAAGGAAUUGACGGGGCCCCGCACAAGCGGCGGAGCAUGCGGAUUAAUUCGAUGCAACGCGUAGAACCUUACCUGGGUUUGACAUGGAUCGGGAGUGCUCAGAGAUGGGUGUGCCUCUUUUGGGGUCGGUUCACAGGUGGUGCAUGCCUGUCGUCAGCUCGUGUCGUGAGAUGUUGGGUUAAGUCCCGCAACGAGCGCAACCCUUGUUCACUGUUGCCAGCACGUUAUGGUGGGGACUCAGUGGAGACCGCCGGGGUCAACUCGGAGGAAGGUGGGGAUGACGUCAAGUCAUCAUGCCCCUUAUGUCCAGGGCUUCACGCAUGCUACAAUGGCUGGUACAGAGAGUGGCGAGCCUGUGAGGGUGAGCGAAUCUCGGAAAGCCGGUCUCAGUUCGGAUUGGGGUCUGCAACUCGACCUCAUGAAGUCGGAGUCGCUAGUAAUCGCAGAUCAGCAACGCUGCGGUGAAUACGUUCCCGGGGCU